UACGGGGGGGGGGCAAGCGUUUGUUCGGAAUUACUGGGCGUAAAGGGCUCGUAGGCGGCCAACUAAGUCAUACGUGAAAUCCCUCGGCUUAACCGGGGAACUGCGUCUGAUACUGGAUGGCUUGAGUUCGGGAGAGGGAUGUGGAAUUCCAGGUGUAGCGGUGAAAUGCGUAGAUAUCUGGAGGAACACCGGUGGCGAAGGCGGCAUCCUGGACCGACAUUGACGCUGAGGCGCGAAAGCCAGGGGAGCAAACGGG
rnacentral:rRNA from 1 species